rnacentral:lncRNA from 10 species
CAUUCUCUCAAAGAUGUGGGUGUUUCAUACACAUUACUAUUUAAUAUUUAUUUAAAAGUCUGUGUGAUCAGCAUUUUAUUAAGACACUUCUUUCCUCCAGAAAUUUUACUUUUAAUUAAAACAAGUGGAUAGAUUGAACAACUCUUAUUUCUUUUUUUAUUAUUUGUAAGAGGCAGUUUAUCAAAGGAAUAGGUACUAAGCAUUCAAGAUAAAUAUUGCAUGGGUUAAUUUCAGAAGGAAUAUGGUAAACAGCUACCUGGAUAUUAAGAAGUAAUGGUCAUCAUCUGAUUUUUACUCAAAGCUAAAUAGGAGCUAAGCUUGUAUACUUAUGUAAAGUUUACAUCAGGCUGUGUAGAAACACAUACCUUUUUUCAAGCUAUUUUCUAAAGUUCUUAGAUUUUGUUAUUCUUUUCUUUCUAUCCAUCCAACCUCAAUCCUCAGCUCCAACAAACACACACACACACACACACACACACACACACACACACACACACACAGAGAGAGAGAGAGAGAGAGAGAGAGAGAGAGUAAUAUAGGAGGAGGUGACAGAGGCUAAGCUAUUAUUAACCUGAAAGUCUUUUUUAGUGUCCCUGGGCCAGUUUGGAAAACAAUCAUAUAAUUUUGUAUUAUUGGAUGAGUUGUCAGUUGCUGCCCAAUGUUUUAACCCUUAUAAGGGCAGCCUCACUGAUGCAUUCAUCCAAACACAUUUUGUAUAGCAUCCUUACUUUCAUGUCCAAAAGUUGUAUCAUUUGAUUGUGUAGAGAAGAACCACAAUGUAAAGGCAAUUGGCUGUUCCAACAAUUCAUCAUGCCAAAUGAGAAGAUUGCAUUUCCAUACCAAAAAGCCAGGCAAGACAUGAAGGAUUCAGAUGCUCCCCUGAGGAUCUGUGACUGGAGUAGGAAAACCCAGCAGAGAUGGCAGUCAGUGCCACCCUGCGCCUGCUUUCUCUUUGUGUAUCUGUGCCACAGGCGGACUCCCUUGGUUCCUGACCCAGUUUCUCCCUUAGACUUUGUUCUCAAGGACAGUCUAAAGCCCUGGCAGUCAACUUGUCCUGAGAACCAUUGCAUCGCUGUAAUACACCUGCGGGACCCCCUCUUGCUCCACAAAAUGAUCAGCAUAGAAAUGAACAAAUCCAUUCUCCUUGGAAACAUCCCCAAAUGGCUCACUUACCCUGCUUGCAGCCAACCAUGGGCUAUCAUAUGUAUCUGAAAACCAAUUAGAAAGUCUGCCCACUUCCAAAAAUUUCACCUUAAUAGCAUGCUUGCCAAUCAGACAUGGCCUCACAGGAAGCUCUCUUUUACUUGAUAAAGCUUCCUUUCCUUUCUAACACCCUUGAACCCCUGCUGAAACGAUGACAAGGCAGAUGGGUUUCCUUGUUGCAGGUCUGUAAAUAAGCAGUCUGUGUUCCUGUUGGCUUGGACUUGUUUUGCCUUUGACAACUUUGAUGCUGCUCCUGUCAUUAACGUCUGUUUUCACUUUAGCUUUGUCUACAGACUCCCCCAUGGAACGGCCCUCCUGUGCCUGACCCCAGGCAUACGUUCUGUUGCCAUACUCUCUUUUAGGGACUGGCUUUUGGAUAUCAGGCUUGGGACACAACAGUGAAUGCAGCCACCAUGAGUCAGGGCCAGACUCAGUCUAAGGGGGAUGGUGCAGUGGUCAGUUUCACCAGGUCCUUUGUUGCUGUUUUCGUGACUGUUCUGUCCUGUGCAAGAAAGGGGCAUCUUUUCCAACUGUGUAUCCUCCAGGCCUGGUUUUCUGAUCUUCCUGAUCCUGUGGGUUAUGCGGCGGGUUUGAUUAAAUCUUUUCUGCCUACAUUAGUUUGAGUGGGGUUGUUUCACUUGCCAAAAAUCUCCUGAUAGAGACAGUCUCUUUGAAAGGAAAAGGAGCUCAAUGUCUGGUUCUCUUGGCCUCACUGGGCAAGCUGCUUCCUGAAAGUGCUGACCUCAUUUCUUAAGGGGAUAGAUAAGCAUUUAUUCAUAUGAUGGGAUUUCAAGAGGGUGAGAGCAGAGCCCUCGAAGGUGAUUGCAGGGCGCAGAAGAGGUGUCCAAGGGCUUCAAAGACUUCCCUUAAGGCCUGUCCUGCUUACAAGAAAUGCAAUCAGGGGGAGCAGAAUGACGCAGAGGAGUCUGGAAGCUCAGGAUUGCAUUAAGCGACUUUCCCAUACUGUGAGGAGAUGUGGUGGGGACCAUUAACUGUUGGAAGGAUUCCUUUUAAGGAUGCAUUAUAUCAAGAGCUAGAUAUCAGAGCCACUUGGGAGAAAUAAGAAACAGGUGUAGAAACAGGAUUUAUAUGACUACUUAACCCAUCUAUUGUAUUCUUUAUUUCAACUAUUAUUUGGUUCACAUUUAAUGUUUUCUCUUAACCUUUAUUUUAUGUGGCUAUAAA